rnacentral:rRNA from 1 species
GUCGAGAAUCUUUCACAAUGGGGGCAACCCUGAUGGAGCGACGCCGCGUGGAGGAUAAGGUCUUCGGAUUGUAAACUCCUGUCAUGCGUGAACAAGGUUGCUUGGUUAAUACCUGGGCAAAUUGAUGGUAACGCAAGAGGAAGAGACGGCUAACUCUGUGCCAGCAGCCGCGGUAAUACAGAGGUCUCAAGCGUUGUUCGGAAUCACUGGGCGUAAAGGGUGCGUAGGUGGCGGGGUAAGUCAGAUGUGAAAGCCCGGGGCUCAACCUCGAAACUGCAUCCGAUCCUGCCAUGCUAGAGUACUGGAGAGGUGACUAGAAUUCUCGGUGUAGCAGUGAAAUGCGUAGAUAUCGAGAGGAAUACCAAAGGCGUAGGCAGGUCACUGGACAGUUACUGACACUGAGGCACGAAGGCCAGGGGAGCGAACGGGAUUAGAUACCCCUGUAGUCC